GCAAGACCGGUGCCAGCCGCCGCGGUAACACCGGCGGCUCGAGUGGUAACCGUUAUUAUUGGGUCUAAAGGGUCUGUAGCCGGCCGGAUAAGUCUCUUGAGAAAUCUGGCAGCUUAACUGUCAGGCUUUCAGGAGAUACUGUCUGGCUCGAGGCCGGGAGAGGUGAGAGGUACUUCAGGGGUAGGGGUGAAAUCUUGUAAUCCUUGAAGGACCACCAGUGGCGAAGGCGUCUCACCAGAACGGACCUGACGGCAAGGGACGAAAGCUAGGGGCACGAACCGGAUUAGAUACCCGGGUAGUCCUAGCCGUAAACGAUACUCGCUAGGUGUCGGCCACGGUGCGACCGUUGUCGGUGCCGUAGGGAAGCCG
rnacentral:rRNA from 1 species